UGGGAACGUGCCCUUUGGUUCGGAACAACUCCGGGAAACUGGAGCUAAUGCCGGAUACGCCCUUCGGGGGAAAGAUUUAUCGCCAAAGGAUCGGCCCGCGUCUGAUCAGCUAGUUGGUGUGGGUAAUGGCCCACCAAGGCGAUGACGGGUAGCCGGCCUGAGAGGGUGACCGGCCACACUGGGACUGAGACACGGCCCCGACUCCUACGGGAGGCAG
rnacentral:rRNA from 1 species